rnacentral:rRNA from 1 species
AUGAACGCUAGCUACAGGCUUAACACAUGCAAGUCGAGGGGCAGCAUGAACUUAGCUUGCUAAGUUUGAUGGCGACCGGCGCACGGGUGAGUAACACGUAUCCAACCUGCCGAUGACUCGGGGAUAGCCUUUCGAAAGAAAGAUUAAUACCCGAUGGCAUAGUUCUUCCGCAUGGUAGAACUAUUAAAGAAUUUCGGUCAUCGAUGGGGAUGCGUUCCAUUAGGUUGUUGGCGGGGUAACGGCCCACCAAGCCUUCGAUGGAUAGGGGUUCUGAGAGGAAGGUCCCCCACAUUGGAACUGAGACACGGUCCAAACUCCUACGGGAGGCAGCAGUGAGGAAUAUUGGUCAAUGGACGAGAGUCUGAACCAGCCAAGUAGCGUGAAGGAUGACUGCCCUAUGGGUUGUAAACUUCUUUUAUACGGGAAUAAAGUGAGGCACGUGUGCCUUUUUGUAUGUACCGUAUGAAUAAGGAUCGGCUAACUCCGUGCCAGCAGCCGCGGUAAUACGGAGGAUCCGAGCGUUAUCCGGAUUUAUUGGGUUUAAAGGGAGCGUAGGCGGACGCUUAAGUCAGUUGUGAAAGUUUGCGGCUCAACCGUAAAAUUGCAGUUGAUACUGGGUGUCUUGAGUACAGUAGAGGCAGGCGGAAUUCGUGGUGUAGCGGUGAAAUGCUUAGAUAUCACGAAGAACUCCGAUUGCGAAGGCAGCCUGCUGGACUGUAACUGACGCUGAUGCUCGAAAGUGUGGGUAUCAAACAGGAUUAGAUACCCUGGUAGUCCACACAGUAAACGAUGAAUACUCGCUGUUUGCGAUAUACAGUAAGCGGCCAAGCGAAAGCGUUAAGUAUUCCACCUGGGGAGUACGCCGGCAACGGUGAAACUCAAAGGAAUUGACGGGGGCCCGCACAAGCGGAGGAACAUGUGGUUUAAUUCGAUGAUACGCGAGGAACCUUACCCGGGCUUGAAAGUUAGCGACGAUUCUGGAAACAGGAUUUCCCUUCGGGGCGCGAAACUAGGUGCUGCAUGGUUGUCGUCAGCUCGUGCCGUGAGGUGUCGGCUUAAGUGCCAUAACGAGCGCAACCCUUAUCGAUAGUUACCAUCAGGUUAUGCUGGGGACUCUGUCGAGACUGCCGUCGUAAGAUGUGAGGAAGGUGGGGAUGACGUCAAAUCAGCACGGCCCUUACGUCCGGGGCUACACACGUGUUACAAUGGGGGGUACAGAAGGCAGCUACACGGCGACGUGAUGCUAAUCCCUAAAGCCUCUCUCAGUUCGGAUUGGAGUCUGCAACCCGACUCCAUGAAGCUGGAUUCGCUAGUAAUCGCGCAUCAGCCACGGCGCGGUGAAUACGUUCCCGGGCCUUGUACACACCGCCCGUCAAGCCAUGAAAGCCGGGGGUACCUGAAGUGCGUAACCGCAAGGAGCGCCCUAGGGUAAAACUGGUGAUUGGGGCU